CCUACGGGUGGCAGCAGUAGGGAAUUUUCGUCAAUGGGGGGAACCCUGACCGAGCAACGCCGCGUGAACGAAGAAGGUAUUCGGAAUGUAAAGUUCUUUUGACAGGGAAGAAAGAGAAAUUUUACGGUACCUGAGGAAUAAGCUCCGGCAAACUACGUGCCAGCAGCGGCGGUAAUACGUAGGGAGCGAUCGUUAUCCGGAAUUGUUGGGGGAAAGGGGUGCGUAGAUGGCAUAGUAAGUCUUUUGGAAAAACGCUGGGCUCAACCCAGUAGGGCAAGAGAUACUGCAAAGCUAGAGUAUGACAGAGGCAAGUGGAACUACAUGUGUAGCGGUAAAAUGCGUAAAUAUAUGUAAGAACACUAGUGGCGAAGGCGGCUUGCUGGGUCGAUACUGACAUUGAGGCACGAAAGCGUGGGGAGCAAACAGGAUUAGAUACCCGUGUAGUC
rnacentral:rRNA from 1 species